UUUUGAAAAAUAAUUUAAAUUAUAAUUAAAAAUGAACCAAAGGUACAUAGAGAAGGUGUGGACCACACAUAUGUGGCUGAAAGCUGACCCUCAGUCAUCUUAAAUGGAUUUUAUCAAAAGGGAUGCCUAAGAGACCGCAGGAUCCCAACAAGAGAGUCUGUGAAGAGAUGGCCUGCUGAGACCCAAAUCACAGUGAAGUACCCUUGAGAGAUGCCUGCUAAUGAAUGGGGAGAGGAGUAAAUAGUCUGAAGAACCCUACAAGGAAAUGAAACACCCUGCAAGGGAGAAAGACCAAGAGUCAGCUUUGACACCUCCCAAACCAGACAGCAGUCAAUGAUGGCAGCUCACAAAAGUACAAGCAUGCAGGAGCUUUGCUAUACCCUCACAUCUCCUCUCUCCACCAUCUUAAAACCUGGUGUGGUCAGAAACAGUGCCAAUCAACAUUUGAGGAGAGGAAGAAGACAAGUUGGGAAAAUAGAGUAUCUAUCCAAGUCAUACUGUAUACUACAGGGCUGCCUUCUGUUGCAUGGUUGAUUAGGCUACAGCACAACUGAAGAGGGAGAAGCCAUCUUGCCUCCAUGAUUGGACAAACAUGAAGAUAAAAGCUUCCCUGUGUGGAUGAUAGAGCAAAAUGAUAGAAGGGGCUCAGACUCCCUUCCUUCAGACUUCUUGAUAUAUCUUCAAAGAUGUCCAAUACUUCUGCUGUAGCAACACAGUGCUUCAUGGAAUCCUACAGUGAUUGUAUCUACGAAUUCACUGCACAAGCAUUUUAAGAAAUGUCCAAUUGUGCUUCAUCAACUUGCAGCUGCAGCAGUGAGAGAAGAUGCUGCCAGGGACCAAAAAACAGUCAGUAAACAAAACAGAAGCCCAGAAUGAUGACACCAGUGAUCUGAUCUGUUUUUGUGUAAAGAAGAUGAGUGACUCUACUGAACAUCUGUAAUACCCAGACGCACACUGGCAUUUGGUUUCCUUUUUCCUGAUAUCAACCCACUCUCGGGGAUGCCUUCUCCUGAGGUAUUAUGCAGCUCUCAUUUUGAGGAGAAAAUAAAGAAGAGGCAAUACAUAAGAAAGUAAUGGCUGAGAAUUUACCAGAAAUGAUGAAAACAUAUAAAUCCACAAAUAUAGGAAGUAAGGUAUAUCACAGCAAAGCUAUCUUUAUAAAAAGAAGAAUGAAGAUAUUUUUCCAGCAAGAAAAUUUUUGCAACAUCAUUAGAAAGAACUUUGCUAAAGUAACUUCUAAAUAGUUACUUCAAGAGAAAAGAAAAUGAUUACUGAAGGAAAAUGAGGGGUG